UUCAAUUGGUUAAAAGCCAUCAUCCAGAAGGAACCAACUGAGAGAGAGAGAGAGAGGGAUUGCUGACAAGGAGUAAAGUGGGGCUGACUAGGAUUUCUCAUCCCACACACCUCUGGCAGAGGUGCUAAUGAACAGCAGAAUGGCCACAAGGCAGCAUACCCAACGUAGCGAAGAGGCAAGGGAGUGAGGUAAUCCUCCAGCUGAAUAUAAACCACUGAUAAUGCCA
rnacentral:lncRNA from 10 species